AGAGUUUGAUCCUGGCUCAGGACGAACGCUGGCGGCGCACCUCAUGCAUGCAAGUCGAACGAGGCUUCGGCCUAGUGGCGAACGGGUGAGUAACACGUGAGGAACCUGCCCCGGAGACCGGGAUAAGCCGAGGAAACUUGGUCUAAUACCGGAUACCCCCAGCGGAGCGCAUGCUCUGCCGAGGAAAUGGAUUCCGCUCCGGGAUGGUCUCGCGACCUAUCAGCUUGUUGGCGGGGUAACGGCCCACCAAGGCAUCGACGGGUAGCUGGUCUGAGAGGACGAUCAGCCACACUGGGACUGAGACACGGCCCAGACUCCUACGGGAGGCAGCAGCAGGGAAUCUUGCGCAAUGGGCGAAAGCCUGACGCAGUGACGCCGCGUGUGGGAGGACGCCCUUCGGGGUGUAAACCACUGUUGCCCGGGACGAAUGUCCCUCUUUCGAGGGAUUGACGGUACCGGGUGAGGAAGCGCCGGCUAACUCCGUGCCAGCAGCCGCGGUAAUACGGAGGGCGCGAGCGUUGUCCGGAAUCACUGGGCGUAAAGCGCGCGUAGGCGGCCACACACGUCGGUUGUGAAAGCUCGGAGCUCAACUCUGAGAGGCCUUCCGAUACGGUGUGGCUAGAGGUAGGUAGGGGAGAGCGGAAUUCCUGGUGUAGCGGUGAAAUGCGCAGAUAUCAGGAGGAACACCGGUGGCGAAGGCGGCUCUCUGGGCCUGUCCUGACGCUGAGGCGCGAAAGCUGGGGGAGCGAACAGGAUUAGAUACCCCCGUAGUCC
rnacentral:rRNA from 1 species